UCACCAUCCUCUUUCUCCACGCCACCCAGAAGGACCUGUCAGACUUCCACCAGUCCAUGGCGUGAGUACACUAACCCCGCUCAGAAUCCCGAGGAGACCUCUGUGCCCUGCCCCGCCCACCUCCAGGCUGGCGGCUCAAAGCACGACUCUCCAGAGUGUGCUCUGGGGUCCAAGCUGUGUUUUCUUUUUUUUAAGUUUGGAGUCCAUUAACACACUUUCAAAUCUGGAGAUUUUGUGCACAACUGAUUCUAGCUGUCCUAUGCAUGCACUAGGAGUGCUGGAAUUGCGUGUCCAACAGAGAAGGGUACUGUGUCCUUCUUUUCAGAGCAAAUCCCCAGACCCCCAGGUCACUCACUGACCUUGUCUCUAUCUCUCAAGUCCUUGCCUCUGCUGCACUCCAUUUCCCAAAGCCAUAGGCUCCGGGCAGCA
rnacentral:lncRNA from 1 species